UUCCGGUUGAUCCCGCCGGAGGUUACUGCUAUCGAGGUUCGACUAAGCCAUGCGAGUCGAAUGUAGCAAUACAUGGCGUACUGCUCAGUAACACGUGGAUAACCUGCCCUUAGGACGGGGAUAAACCCGGGAAACUGGGUAUAAUACCCGAUAGAUCUCGAAAGCUGGAAUGCAUCGAGAUCCAAAGCUCCGGCGCCUAAGGAUGGAUCUGCGGCCUAUCAGGUAGUAGUGGGUGUAGCGUACCUACUAGCCUACGACGGGUACGGGUUGUGAGAGCAAGAGCCCGGAGAUGGAUUCUGAGACACGAAUCCAGGCCCUACGGGGUGCAGCAGGCGCGAAAACUUUACAAUGCUGGCAACAGCGAUAAGGGGACCUCGAGUGCCAGGUUACAAAUCUGGCUGUCGUAAUGCCUAAAAAGCAUUGCAUAGCAAGGGCCGGGCAAGACCGGUGCCAGCCGCCGCGGUAACACCGGCGGCUCGAGUGGUAACCGUUAUUAUUGGGUCUAAAGGGUCUGUAGCCGGCCGGAUAAGUCUCUUGGGAAAUCUGGCAGCUUAACUGUCAGGCUUUCAGGAGAUACUGUCUGGCUCGAGGCCGGGAGAGGUGAGAGGUACUUCAGGGGUAGGGGUGAAAUCUUGUAAUCCUUGAAGGACCACCAGUGGCGAAGGCGUCUCACCAGAACGGACCUGACGGC
rnacentral:rRNA from 1 species